ACUAACAAAUCCUGGGUGUGGGCUGCCCCUGGGAGGGAUGUCGCCUCGGGCAGGGGAGCCCAUCGCUGAGGACCCUGCCUGGGGAAGAAGGCCGUGGAGAGCCAGCAGAGAGCAGUUCCUGCAUCUGGGGCAGUCGGUGCCUCGGCCAUGCCAGGGGAACAGGGAGAGCACCGCUUGGCACCCACCACAGUCCACCUUGUGCCCAUCUGCUCCAGACAGUAAGCUCCUCUCUUUUGCUGGGGACCAGGGGAGUAAUGUGGAUCUUCUCUGCUACAGUCUUGAAGUGACAGCAAGAGAGCGCCAUGACCUGCAGGAGGCACAGUUCCCCCCGCCCCUUGCUGCACUAUCCCAGUGGGGCUUCCCCCAUCAGAGGUUGAGCCAUGCUGUGUGAAUCCUGGAUACUGGCAAGGAUUGGCCAAAGAAAGCAGCUGUCUCCUGUGACACACCCAAGUCUCCUCUCCUGGGAAAGCCCUCAGGAGGAGUCUCCUUUGUCAAUAAUUAAACAAUUCCUGAAGGCUGGCAGGCUGGAGGGAAUGUGCAUUUGCU